rnacentral:rRNA from 1 species
GACGAACGCUGGCGGCGUGCCUAAUACAUGCAAGUUGAGCGCUGACGGUUGGUACUUGUACCAACUGGAUGAGCCGCGAACGGGUGAGUAACGCGUGGGGAAUCUGCCUUUUAGCGGGGGACAACAUUUGGAAACGAAUGCUAAUACCGCAUAAAAACUUUAAACACAAGUUUUAAGUUUGAAAGAUGCAAUUGCAUCACUCCAAGAUGAUCCCGCGUUGUAUUAGCUAGUUGGUGAGGGAAAGGCUCACCAAGGCGAUGAUACAUAGCCGACCUGAGAGGGUGAUCGGCCACAUUGGGACUGAGACACGGCCCAAACUCCUACGGGAGGCAGCAGUAGGGAAUCUUCGGAAAUGGACGAAAGUCUGACCGAGCAACGCCGCGUGAGUGAAGAAGGGUGUCGGAUCGUAAAACUCUGUUGGUAGAGAAGAACGUUGGUGAGAGUGGAAAGCUCAGCAAGUGACGGUAACUACACAGAAAGGGACGGCUAACUACGCG